rnacentral:lncRNA from 1 species
GCCAGUUUCCAGUUGUUCCACACACCAGUCCACCUCUUUCUGCAGCUGGUCAUCUGACUGCUGAGAGGUCUCGUCCUGUUGGGCUGCACCUUUAUUCUGGCAUCCAUUAGCUUCCACCUUUGCCUUCCUCUUGAUCUCAGUUUCUUUUAUGUCCUUUUUACUGACAGAUGCAUUUUGUUUCUUCUUCUUUUUCUUCUUUUGUGUAGCUCUCUCUGACGCUGAUUUCUCU